rnacentral:rRNA from 1 species
AAAGCCGCGAGGCGGAGCGAAUCCCCAAAAGGCGUCUCAGUUCGGAUUGCAGGCUGCAACUCGCCUGUAUGAAGUCGGAAUUGCUAGUAAUCGUGGAUCAGCAUGCCACGGUGAAUACGUUCCCGGGCCUUGUACACACCGCCCGUCACACCAUGAGAGUUGGGAAUACCCGAAGCCUGUGAGCUAACGUAAGAGGCAGCAGUCGAAGGUAGAAUCAAUGAUUGGGGUGAAGUCGUAACAAGGUAGC